ACUCAAAUGAAUAGACGGGGGCCCGCACAAGCGGUGGAGCAUGCGGCUUAAUUCGAUGCAACGCGAAGAACCUUACCUGGGUUUGACAUGGAUGGGUGUCUAACACUCUGAAUGUGAAAGCGUUCAACCUUCUUAGAUGAAAGUUUAGGAGGGGUAAUUCACAGGUGCUGCAUGGCUGUCGUCAGCUCGUGUCGUGAGAUGUUCGGUUAAGUCCGUUAACGAGCGCAACCCCUGUUCUUAGUUGCCAGCAAGUAAAGUUGGGGACUCUAGGAAGACCGACCUCUUUAUGAGGUAGGAAGAUGGGGAUGACGUCAAGUCAGCAUGGCCCUUACACCCAGGGCUGCACGCGUGCUACAAUGCCUAGUACAAAGGGAAGCAAUACUGCGAAGUGGAGCCAAUCCCUAAAACUAGGCCCAGUUCAGAUUGAAGUCUGCAAUUCGACUUCAUGAAGUUGGAAUCGCUAGUAAUGGCGCAUCAGCUACGGCGCCGUGAAUACGUUCCCGGGCCUUGUACACACCGCCCGU
rnacentral:rRNA from 1 species